rnacentral:lncRNA from 1 species
GAAUCUGCGAGACGGAUUCGAAGCAUGAAAGUAAUGAAGUAUGAAUGACCUGUUUGACCUUGAAAAGUCAAACUGUAAAAGUUGACAAAUGAGUUAAAGAUCUGCGAAAGAAUGGUUAUGUAAUUGACCCAUUAUGAACGGGUUAAACGACGAAAGCGAUAUAUAAGGAAACGGUCAUGUAUUGACCUGUUAUGAACGGGUCAAAUGCACUAAUGUUUUAAAAGGGAAUCGAGAAAAGAUUAAUAGGUAAACAAGAUGAUGUAAUAAAACGUCUGAAUGAAGUAUGUAAAUCCCUAAUCCUAUAAUGAGAAUGGCAGAAAUCAUGAUGUGAUGAACCUAUCAAGGACGGCGGAAGAAUGCUCGUAAGCAGAAGCUCAUCACAUGGAUGAAUCAGGUCAAUCCAGAGAUGGUAUGAAUGUAACGAAGAGGGUCGAUUCGCUUUUGCUUGUCGAGGUACUGCAUCAAAACAGUAAGAAUGUGUUAUAAAAACGAAGACUUGGCUUUUAGAAGCGGAUUAAGAAUGAAUUUUAGUUCAGGCGGAUGUAGUAAGAAGACCGUGCAUGAGUAAGAAGGUAGGAACGAAACUCUAGGUAUAAAUGAAACUAGUAGAACUGAUACUAACGGUGAAAUGUGUUAGUAAGUUGACAUGAACUUCAAAUUGUUGUAAUGUAAAUCAUGGUAUUAGACUUUUUAGGAUGCUACUAGUUUGCACACUUUAGAUUAAGUACGAUAAUGUGAU